rnacentral:lncRNA from 1 species
UCUUAUUUGAAGUUUCUUUCGGAAUUCCUAUUUGCUUUCUUCUUCAUUUUGAUUGCUAGAAUGAUUGCUAGUAUGAGUGCUUAUGUGAAUGAUAUGUUUGCUAUAUAGAUUUCAUCGGAGAGUGACGAGUAGUCUAUCAAGUUUUUUUCUUGAGAAAUUCUUCUUCGUCAACAUCACCAGGCAAAUCACUUUGAUCAUACUAUCACCUAUGUUUUAUGCAUCGUAGUUCUACCAUCCUAUGCCCUAUUGCAUGCUGAGUAGGUACUUGGAAAUUUUAGUAUAGUUUGUAGUAUCAUGUCGUAGGCACACAACGACCCCGAUACUUGGCCCCGGGACGACAAAUUUCAUAUUUCUAUGCUUGAGUAGACGGGAUAUCGGUUGAGUGCAUAACACGAGUGAUGCGAGGUUGAUUAAUAAUCAAGACCGGUUAAGAC